CAUAUAUAUAUAUUUAUAAAAAAAAACUUAACGAAAUGCAUCCAUAUCAACACGUUAUAAUUUAGCAUAUACUCCAAUAAAAAUGAAUAUGAAAUUUCGCCGGUGUUUGUAAAAUGAAAUGAGUACAACUAAGAGGACAUGACAAUUUAAGAGUUAUGGAUUUGUCAAUGUAUGAAUAACAGAACGUUCCAGUAUGCGUUCGAGUAUGUGUGAGUUAUUUUUUGGCUCUUUCAACUUCAGACAUUUUAUUAAUACGCAAUUACUUUACAUUUCAAAACACUCACCAAACAAAUGUGCAAGUGAGGACAAUGGAUAACGAUAGCUAUAGUGAUUAUAGUGAAUAUGACGAUUGCUCUUCUCAAUCUGAAGAUGAAGACUUUUUGGUGGAAUGUCCGCACUGUCCGUCCCCGGUUAAGAAAAGUAAUUAUGAAGACCACAUAAAUAGAGUGCACAGGUGCGAUGAAUGUGGAAAAUGCAUGCCGAAAUACAGGCACUUCUUGGCCACAAGAAGCGUUGUCAUAUGCAAAUAUGUUUUACUUGCGGUAUACAAAUGCUCAAAGAACCAAUGGAACAACAUUUGAAAUCACAUCAGCGCGAAUGCCAACAUUGCAAAAAAAUGUUUCUUGAAGGAAACCUGGACCAGCAUAUUCGAGAUAGCCAUGCAUUAAGUGCCACUAUUGGAAUGAUUCGUUUGGAUAAAAUCGCCGAAUUCAAUCGUUUAGUUGCUCAAACUCGUAUUUAUUGCGAUACUAAUGGUCAUGUGUUUAUUAAAAGUGUGUAAGCGUCAACCAAACAUUUAUUGAACAGAUUACAGAUUAUUCAAAGACAUGAGCCAAGGUUUUCUUUUAGUAUUAUAUAGUAUAAUUUUUUUUACUUGUAGAAAUCUACAUUUUUCUUAUAAAUACAUCACCAAAAUAAAGGUUUUCCUUUCUCGAUGUGAUUUAUAUACUUUCAUGCAAAUUAUGCUCAAGUUCUAUUAGUAACUUUUCAAUAAUAACCAAUUUUUGAUAAAUAUGAAACCCGAAAAUUUCGUCCAUUCGUUUGAAAUGUGAAUAUUUACAAAAAAAAUUACACCGAAAAUAGUUUGUAAGAAAAAAAACCAACUGUUUACGACUGUAAUUGUCGGCGAUGAACAAUAAACAAUAUGUAUUUAUUGUUGGGAAAGAAUAUAUUCAAUCUAUUGACCAAAUUGAAUUUAAAAGAACAAUUCAUUCAUUUGUUAAGUCUUUGUAACUGCUUCAACUUACAAAUAAACCUUCGGCCAAUAUUCAAUAGAAAUAGUGUGUGCAAACAAUAAAGAACAGCAAUAAAUGUGGCACGAAUGUUGCCCUCGAAA